UAGCCGUAAACGAUACUCGCUAGGUGUCGGCCACGGUGCGACCGUUGUCGGUGCCGUAGGGAAGCCGUGAAGCGAGCCACCUGGGAAGUACGGCCGCAAGGCUGAAACUUAAAGGAAUUGGCGGGGGAGCACCGCAACGGGAGGAGCGUGCGGUUCAAUUGGAUUCAACGCCGGACAACUCACCAGGAGCGACGGUUACAUGAAGGCCAGGCCGAUGACCUUGCCUGAUUUUCCGAGAGGAGGUGCAUGGCGUAGUCGUGU
rnacentral:rRNA from 1 species